CAUGGUGUAUCGUGCGGAAAAGAAGUUCUAGUGGCUAACGGGUGAGUAACACGUGAAUUGCCUUUAGGAAGAGGAUAACUAUUAGAAAUAAGUUGCUAAAACUCUAUAUGCCUUACGGGUGAACAAAGAAAUUUGCCUAAAGAGAAGCUCGCGUCUGAUUAGCUAGUUGGUGGGGUAAAGGCCUACCACGGCGACGAUCAGUAGCUGGUCUGAGAGGAUGAUCAGCCACACUGGAACUGAGACACGGUCCAGACUCCUACGGGAGGCAGCAGUGAGGAAUUUUCUGCAAUGGGCGAAAGCCUGACAGAGCAAUACCGCGUGAGGGAUGACGGCCUAUGGGUUGUAAACCUCUUUUCUCAAGGAGGAAAAUUUGACGUUACUUGAGGAAUAAGCAUCGGCUAACCCUGUGCCAGCAGCCGCGGUAAUACAGGUGAUGCAAGUGUUAUCCGGAAUUAUUGGGCGUAAAG
rnacentral:rRNA from 1 species